rnacentral:rRNA from 1 species
ACGAACGCUGGCGGCGUGCUUAACCCAUGCAAGUCGCACGCUGAAGCUUGGUGCUUGCACUGGGUGGAUGAGUGGCGAACGGGUGAGUAAUACGUGAGUAACCUGCCCUUGACUCUGGGAUAAGCCUGGGAAACUGGGUCUAAUACUGGAUACGACAUGCCACUGCAUGGUGGUGUGUGGAAAGGGUUUUACUGGUUUUGGAUGGGCUCACGGCCUAUCAGCUUGUUGGUGGGGUAAUGGCCUACCAAGGCGACGACGGGUAGCCGGCCUGAGAGGGUGACCGGCCACACUGGGACUGAGACACGGCCCAGACUCCUACGGGAGGCAGCAGUGGGGAAUAUUGCACAAUGGGCGGAAGCCUGAUGCAGCGACGCCGCGUGAGGGAUGACGGCCUUCGGGUUGUAAACCUCUUUCAGCACGGAAGAAGCGAGAGUGACGGUACGUGCAGAAGAAGCGCCGGCUAACUACGUG